GACGAACGCUGGCGGUGUGCUUAACACAUGCAAGUCGAACGGUAAGGCCCUUUCUGGGGUACACGAGUGGCGAACGGGGGAGUAACACGUGAGUAACCUGCCCUCAUCUCUGGGAUAACAGUCGGAAACGGUUGCUAACACUGGAUAUGAGCUUGCAAGGCAUCUUGGGGGUUGGAAAGAUUUUUUUUGGUUGGGGAUGGACUCUCGGCCUAUCAGCUUGUUGGUGAGGUAGUGGCUCACCAAGGCUUCGACGGGUAGCCGGCCUGAGAGGGGGACCGGCCACAUUGGGACUGGGAUACGGCCCAAACUCCUACGGGAGGCAGCAGUGGGGAAUAUUGCACAAUGGACGGAAGUCUGAUGCAGCAACGCCGCGUGCGGGAUGACGGCCUUCGGGUUGUAAACCGCUUUCAAUUGUGACGAAGCUUUUUGUGACGGUAGCAGUAGAAGAAGCACCGGCUAACUACGUG
rnacentral:rRNA from 1 species